GGAGAUUUAGCAUAACUAAUGCAAUUUACUUACACUAAAAAGAUAAAAUAUAAUUUUAAUCUCUU
rnacentral:tRNA from 1 species